rnacentral:rRNA from 1 species
UAAAAAUUUAAUUAAAAAUAUUGAAGUAGUAUUAGUUAAGAUCUUGAAAUUUAAAAAAUUUGGCGGUAUUUUAGUCUAUUCAGAGGAACCUGUUUUGUGAUCGAUAGUCCACGUUGUAUCUUACUUAAAUUUGUUUUUAUAGUUUAUAUAUCGUCGUUUACAGAAUAUUUUAUAAAAAAAAUAAUUUUCUUAAUUUUUUAUUUAAAAAUAUAUCAGAUCAAGAUGUAGCUUAUAUUUAAGUUUAUAAUGGGUUACAAUUUUUUUAUUAAUGGAUGUAAGGUUGUAAUUUACUUAUUGAAAUUGGAUUUGAUAGUAAAUUUAUAUAGAUUAAUAGUUUGAUUAUAGCACUAAAAUAUG